rnacentral:rRNA from 1 species
UACGUAGGUGACAAGCGUUGUCCGGAUUUACUGGGCGUAAAGAGCGCGCAGGCGGUCGUUCAAGUCGAGUGUGAAAGCCCCCGGCUCAACUGGGGAGGGUCACUCGAUACUGAUCGACUCGAAGGCAGAAGAGGGAGGCGGAAUUCCCGGUGUAGUGGUGAAAUGCGUAGAUAUCGGGAGGAACACCAGUGGCGAAGGCGGCUUUCUGGUCUGCUCUUGACGCUGAGGCGCGAAAGCUAGGGUAGCAAACGGG